GACAAGGUGGCCGAGCGGUCUAAAGCGCAAUGUUCAAGAAAAUUGAAUUCUUUUCUAUCACAAAUGGAAACCAUUAUAUCGAAAGAUGCCAGGGUUCGAGUCCCUGCCUCAUCG